AUUGAACGCUGGCGGCAUGCCUUACACAUGCAAGUCGAACGGCAGCACGGGAGCAAUCCUGGUGGCGAGUGGCGAACGGGUGAGUAAUAUAUCGGAACGUGCCCAGUCGUGGGGGAUAACGCAGCGAAAGCUGUGCUAAUACCGCAUACGAUCUAAGGAUGAAAGCGGGGGAGCGCAAGACCUCGCGCGAUUGGAGCGGCCGAUAUCAGAUUAGCUAGUUGGUGGGGUAAAGGCCCACCAAGGCGACGAUCUGUAGCUGGUCUGAGAGGACGACCAGCCACACUGGAACUGAGACACGGUCCAGACUCCUACGGGAGGCAGCAGUGGGGAAUUUUGGACAAUGGGCGCAAGCCUGACCCAGCAAUGCCGCGUGCAGGAUGAAGGCCUUCGGGUUGCAAACUGCUUUUGUACGGAACGAAACGGCCCUUUCUAAUACAGGGGGCUAAUGACGGUACCGUAAGAAUAAGCACCGGCUAACUACGUGCCAGCCGCCGCUGUAA
rnacentral:rRNA from 1 species